rnacentral:lncRNA from 1 species
GGCUUUUGCCAUUAAUUUCUUGAAUCCUUCUCCCUCAACAACUCUAAACGGUUGCUCAUCAAGUAUAACAAAUUCGGCAAUAGCUCUCCUAAUAUCCUCCACAUUAUACACCACCCUCUCAGUAGAACCCCAACCUUCUUCUAGCCACCCUUCUUUAAUAGGUUUUAAUGUUGAUUGCCUCUUAUUAAUUAUUCUAAAUGGGGACUUGUGACAUGUCUCAUUUAAAUGUGUCCAUAAUGUAGUAGUCCC